GUCGUCAGCUCGUGUCGUGAGAUGUUGGUUAAGUCCCGCAACGAGCGCAACCCUCGACCUUAGUUGCCAGCAUUCAGUUGGGCACUCUAAGGUGACUGCCGGCUAAAAGUCGGAGGAAGGUGGGGAUGACGUCAAAUCAUCAUGCCCCUUAUGACCUGGGCUACACACGUGCUACAAUGGGCGGUACAAAGGGUCGCGAACCCGCGAGGGGGAGCCAAUCCCAAAAAGCCGCUCUCAGUUCGGAUUGCAGGCUGCAACUCGCCUGCAUGAAGCCGGAAUCGCUAGUAAUCGCGGAUCAGCAUGCCGCGGUGAAUACGCUCCCGGGCCUU
rnacentral:rRNA from 1 species